AUUCAAAUAAAAGCGUAUAUUUGACCAUUUUCAUUUAAAUUAUUAAUUAAAUUCAUAAUACAAAAUAUAAUAAUAAAAUCCUGCAUUAAUAAUAUGAAUUUAAAAAACACAGUAAAGAUAUAUAAUAAAAAGAAAAAAUAAUAAUAGUUGAUAUUUUAAAAAAUACAUAAAAUGAAGCAGCUGUAAAGGUACGUCAAUGUAACACGCUUACAGUCAAGCCAGUAUAACGUUUAUUUGCUUUUUAAAUUAAUUUAAUUUCUUUUUGUUAAUAAAUUUAAAAAACUUGACCAAAAAAAGAAAAACAAUUUACUGUAUCAGAGCCGAGAAUUGAGGCUGUUUAUUGUUGUGAGCUGAAGUUUCUGUGUGUGUGUGUGUGUGUGUGUGUGUGUGUGUGUGUGUGUGUGUGUGUGUGUGUGUGUGUGUGUGUGUGUGUGUGUGUGUGUGUGUGUGUGUACCUUGAGGUUACAAUUUUUUUUUAAUAUGGUUAUUUUUUUCUGCUCUUGUUUUGGUUCUAUUCUUAUUCUUUUAAAGUUACAGUACUUACAUUACACGAAGCUGUAACGUGUAUCUUAAUACCCGUUUUGCUCUGCUAUGGGGAAAUUUGCUUGGGCUGCAUACAGCACAUCACUGCUUUUCUCCUCUCUCGCAUAAAAACUCACAGAAACAAACAAAUAAACAUAAAACUAGAAUGAACACGAGCAGAUUUGACGUUUAUUCGAAAAAAAAAAAAACAGCUGACUAACUCCAAGACUUAAGCGUUUUAUCAUUUUUAUUUUGUCGUUCAGUUCCUGUCUUUGAGUCACAAUGAAUAUUCAUAAAGUAAUUAAAACGAGGGGGGCGGGGGUUACAUUGUCAGCCGCAGUCUGGGUGCCUUAAAGCGAUGCUUGUGUGUGUGUGCGUGUGACUGUAGUUGUUGUAGCCCGGUCGGGUCUAUCUGAAUUAUUAAAAAUAAUAAUAAUAAUAAUAAAAAUUGCAAGACAAACGUCACAGCUUUGUGUGUGUGUGUUUGCGUGACUGUAUGUUUGAAUAUAUGCAAUAAAAGAAGUCUGCACCAGAUGGCUUCAACUGAAUGUAGUGCAAAUGUCCGUUUUUCUUCUUUUAGACUCCACUAUCAGUCGGGUGGAGGGUUUGUAGGGUGGGAUGGGUCCACAAGGAGCAAGCAGCAGCAGCGGGGCAUGCUGGGGUGUGUGCCCGCUGAGGUGCUUUUUAACAGCCGGUCGAGGUCCAAAAACAGCAAGUUUUGUCGGCAUAACCUGGAGACGUUCUGGGUGUCAAGGAGCUGAUUUAGCGGCCCUGCGCGGUCCUCCUGCGGCACUGAUGGGCGUCACGCAGCCCAUCCGUAUCGCCGUAAUUGCAUCGCAGACAAUUAAGAGGCAAAUUAACAAAGUGGUGGGCCCGUGAAGUGGAGAAGCCUACAACUGAGUCAAAUGGGCAGCACGUGAAAUGUUAACAACUGAUCAUCUGGGAGGAAAGAAAAAAAAUCCCACUACAUGGUCAGCUUUGCUUUGGAGAAAUCAGACACACGCGGAGGCAACUUUUCAGCCUUGUUUGUUUACAGUUGUUAACCGUCUUCUUUCGAUCACUGCGAUUAUCAGAGUGUGUGUGCAAUUCAAAAAAAAAAAAAGAAGAAGAAGCACAGUGACGCUUUAUUUAAUUGGUUGCCGACCACCUGGAGUUUCAACAUUUCCCCUGGCUGAUUUCAGACUCCCUCACACCAAUGUGACGUCUAUGGCUGAAGAAAAG
ensembl:lncRNA